rnacentral:tRNA from 1 species
GUGGGUAGAGCUCAGUGGUAGAGCACAUGCUUGGCAUGAAAGAGGUCCUGGGUUCAAUCCCCAGCACCUCCA